GAUGAACGCUGGCGGCGUGCCUAAUACAUGCAAGUCGAGCGAACAGACGAGGAGCUUGCUCCUCUGACGUUAGCGGCGGACGGGUGAGUAACACGUGGAUAACCUACCUAUAAGACUGGGAUAACUUCGGGAAACCGGAGCUAAUACCGGAUAAUAUAUUGAACCGCAUGGUUCAAUAGUGAAAGACGGUUUUGCUGUCACUUAUAGAUGGAUCCGCGCUGCAUUAGCUAGUUGGUAAGGUAACGGCUUACCAAGGCAACGAUGCGUAGCCGACCUGAGAGGGUGAUCGGCCACACUGGAACUGAGACACGGUCCAGACUCCUACGGGAGGCAGCAGUAGGGAAUCUUCCGCAACGGGCGAAAGCUUGACGGAGCAACGCCGCGUGAGUGAUGAAGGUCUUCGGAUCGUAAAACUCUGUUAUUAGGGAAGAACAAAUGUGUAAGUAACUAUGCACGUCUUGACGGUACCUAAUCAGAAAGCCACGGCUAACUACGUG
rnacentral:rRNA from 1 species